CCACGGUAGUAAUGAUGAUACUAGUGAAUAGCUAUUCUGUGCAUACCAUAUGCUAGGUACUGUUCAGUGGCUUUCUGUGCAUUCACUUCUUUAACCAGCACCUGAACUCUAGUGUUGCUUUUUGCCUUGAACCAGCUGCGGCCAAGUAGCAUGGUGCGCUCUGCCUGGGUCAGGCCUGCUAUCUGUGACUGCCUGCCCUUCCCUUUCCCUCUUCUUCAGUCCUCUCACUCGCUUUGGAAGGAAGCUGGUGUCAACACCCCAUCAGAGUCACAUGGAUUGAGCAAGACAACUGAAAGGGGGUGAAGGUUGGCUCUCCAAAGGGCAGACAAGCAUAUGUCUACCAACAUACAUAGUAGACCAUUCUAGAAAGGCAAUGGCUUCCUCAUUCAACAUCCAAAAUGCAGGAUGGUGCGGCUGGACAAAGCAGGAAUUAUUACCCUCAAAGCACUGUUAUUGUCCUCAUUUUAUAAAUGAGGCACAGAAAAGUUACCCCAGGCAUUUGUAAUGCAGACCUGCCACUCACCUGCAGUCUCACUCUAAAGGAGAGUGAUCCUCGCCACAUAAAUCUUCCCCAGAGGCCGAGAGGGUCUAUAUUUCAGAGUCACUUCCCUUCUGUGUCAGCUCUUAUUGAUGCAGAAAUUGGUGCCAGGGCAUAUGCUCUGAGCUCUUCAAGUCAGAAGGCCUUUAUGAUAGAAAUCUGGAAUUGA
rnacentral:lncRNA from 1 species